rnacentral:rRNA from 1 species
CCUACGGGUGGCUGCAGUGGGGAAUAUUGGACAAUGGGCGAAAGCCUGAUCCAGCCAUGCCGCGUGUGUGAAGAAGGCCUUCGGGUUGUAAAGCACUUUCAGUGGGGAAGAAAGCCUUGGGGCUAAUACCCUCGAGGAAGGACAUCACCCACAGAAGAAGCACCGGCUAACUCCGUGCCAGCAGCCGCGGUAAUACGGAGGGUGCGGGCGUUAAUCGGAAUUACUGGGCGUAAAGCGCGCGUAGGCGGUCUGAUAAGCCGGUUGUGAAAGCCCCGGGCUCAACCUGGGAACGGCAUCCGGAACUGUCAGGCUAGAGUGCAGGAGAGGAAGGUAGAAUUCCCGGUGUAGCGGUGAAAUGCGUAGAGAUCGGGAGGAAUACCAGUGGCGAAGGCGGCCUUCUGGACUGACACUGACGCUGAGGUGCGAAAGCGUGGGUAGCAAACAGGAUUAGAUACCCGUGUAGUC